AGUAGGUGGAGCACGAGACUGUACAAACGAGGGGUGUCCCGCGAACUGAGCGGGAAAAGCCUGCCCACGAGACCCCCAAAGACUAGUAUAAAAAGGGGAUCACAGCGCAGUUUGAACACACUGGUGCCCUUUGGUGAGUGUGACUUCUCUCUCUCCCUGCUCUGCUUCAAAAGAGCUGUGCUGUAAACAUUCAGCAGGAGCAGGGGAGAGGAAGGAGCCUCAGUCCGGAGGAAAGCACCCGAAGAUUGAAAGCAAGCGGCGACCAGAAUAAGCACGGAGCUGCAUCGGAGGCAGCUGGGGGAGAGGAAGUGAAGAGCGGAGCCGCCGGGAGUGAAGAGACCAUCCAGACAGGAAACGGGGAAGGCGAGCGCAUCGGGAGACAACACCCAGAAGUGGUACAUCUUUGGUAAGAUCACCCACCUACAGAGUGCCUGUAUCCAGCGCCGCCCCACUGCUGCAGCCUCCGCUGACAGUGCGGCACCCACAAGUCUUCUCUGUAUACACCACCGUACAUAGGCCGCCUCCCCAGCUCCGCCCAGCCGUGCCUCCUCCGACUUUAUCUCCUCCUGCCGGAACCGCCUAGAGUAACUGGCUCUGCCUAGAGGCUGCUUCCCCAGCUCCGCCCGGCCGCGCCUCCUCCGACUUUAUCUCCGCCUGCCGAAGCCGCCUAGAGUAACUGGUUCUGCCUAGAGGCCGUUUCCCCAGCUCCGCCCGGCUGCGCCUCCUCUAACUUUAUCUCUGCCUGCCGGAGCCGCCCAGACUAGCUGGCACAAAUUAGGGGCCGUUUAUCAAGCUCCACCCGGCGGCGCCCCUUCCGUCUAUAUCUCCGCCUGCCGGCGCUGCCUCAUAGUAACUUAUAUAACAUCGAGGCUGCCUCCUAAGCUCCACCUGGCAUAAGCGGCUCCGCUGCUAAACUCCGCCUGCCAGUGCCGCUCAUGUUAAACAGCCAAGCAUAGAGGCCGUAUACAGAACUUCUCCCACCAGUGCUCAUUCAACACUCAGUGCCCCUGACCAGCGCAGCUAAACACUACAGUUCCAAGGGGCCGACAUGUUAGAUCCUGCUCUCAAAACCCUCCGGUCAGGGCCGCACAGCCAUUGAUACAGUCUGCUUACUUUAUGGACAGUGACCCAUCCACUGACCACCAAGCACCACCCAUUAACCUCAAGCCUCUAGAAAACUUUCAACUGCUCACCAAUGAGACUACACGGGGGUGUGGCCACUAUUGAAGUAUAGAGGCAAUGAGCAGGAGCCCAUUGUGAAGACAGCUAAGGCCCAUCAUAUCUGGUUGCAGAAACACAAGGGCCUGAUGUUGUUCCUGCAGACAUGACUGAAAUUAUCUUGGAGCCACUAGAUCCAUUGCAGCCUGAAGAACAACUUAACCACAUCAGAGAGAAGGCAGCAGGACACACCCUCACAUGACCUACCACGAAGACAUAUUCCAACUGCUGAUGAGCUUGCCCUGUCACUAGAUGCCUUCUGCAACAAACAGUUUGAUUUUAUGGAGACACAAACAAAACACCAACAAGGCAUGGUACACCAGUUGCACAAAAUUGCCACUUCAUGCCGAGUUGCAAAGGGCACACGCACCCAAAUGGACAACAACAUUGACCUACGGAUGUUUGAGCUAACUCAGGCACUUAGAACCCUAACAGAGGUGAUUCGCGCCCAAACUGAAGCCAUAAAAGUGCAAACAGAUACAAUGCUUGCACUACAAAGGCACAUGAUUACACCACAACCAAGUGUCCAAUGACACUCAGUUUCAAGUGCCAGUAGGCUGGCCUCCACCUCUGUGACUGUGUCUCCAACCACCCCACCCCAACCCAACAUAGUGUACGCACACGAGGAGGAGUUAAAGGCCAAGGCAAAGGUCGUGGCCUAGCAGAGUAGUAACACAUUUUUUUAUUAAAGAAUGUUGGCACAAAAAAAUACAUGUCUUAAGGGCUAAAAAAUUAAACCAUAUUUCUGAAUAAUAUGACUUGUUAAACAUUAUUUACAAAGUAAAGUUGUGUUAACCA